CGGCGGACGGGUGAGUAACGCGUGGGUAACCUGCCUCAUACAGGGGGAUAACAGUUGGAAAUGGCUGCUAAUACCGCAUAAGCGCACAGUACCGCAUGGUACGGUGUGAAAAACCCAGGUGGUGUGAGAUGGAUCCGCGUCUGAUUAGCCAGUUGGCGGGGUAACGGCCCACCAAAGCGACGACCAGUAGCCGACCUGAGAGGGUGACCGGCCACAUUGGGACUGAGACACGGCCCAA
rnacentral:rRNA from 1 species